GCCCAGGGUUCCAAGGAGCUCACCACAGCCCUGGUCAACCAGUGGCCCUCCCUGAGCACACUCAGUAGACCGGAGGGUGCCAGCAACUCCAAGCUAUUUCGGAGACACAGCUUCAUGAGUACGGAGCCCCUGUCUGCAGAGGCCAGCCUGAGCUCAGACUCCCAGCGCCUGGGGAAGGACCCCACGCCCUCCAUGCUGGGCCUCUGCGGCUCCCUGGCCUCCAUCCCCAGCUGCAAGUCCCUGGCGAGCUUCAAAUCCAACGAAUGCCUGGUGAGCGACAGCCCUGAGGGCAGCCCAGCACUCAGCCCCAGCUGAGGAGCAGCAAGGGCAAUGCCAGCCCCACCUGCCAGGGGCCAUGGACAACUGCCACCUUUUGAGUCCCCCACCCCAGGCCACCCUUCAAG
rnacentral:lncRNA from 1 species